GGCUCCAUAGUGUAGUGGUUAGCAUGUCUGCUUUACACACACAAGGUCCCGGGUUCACGCCCCAGGUGGAGCCA
rfam:Pteropus alecto contig46463, whole genome shotgun sequence.